rnacentral:rRNA from 1 species
AUUGAACGCUGGCGGCAGGCUUAACACAUGCAAGUCGAGCGGAGUGAUGGUGCUUGCACUAUCACUUAGCGGCGGACGGGUGAGUAAUGCUUAGGAAUCUGCCUAUUAGUGGGGGACAACAUCUCGAAAGGGAUGCUAAUACCGCAUACGUCCUACGGGAGGAAGCAGGGGAUCACUUGUGACCUUGCGCUAAUAGAUGAGCCUAAGUCGGAUUAGCUAGUUGGUGGGGUAAAGGCCUACCAAGGCGACGAUCUGUAGCGGGUCUGAGAGGAUGAUCCGCAACACUGGGACUGAGACACGGCCCAGACUCCUACGGGAGGCAGCAGUGGGGAAUAUUGGACAAUGGGGGGAACCCUGAUCCAGCCAUGCCGCGUGUGUGAAGAAGGCCUUAUGGUUGUAAAGCACUUUAAGCGAGGAGGAGGCUCUUUUGGUUAAUACCCAAGAUGAGUGGACGUUACUCGCAGAAUAAGCACCGGCUAACUCUGUGCCAGCAGCCGCAGUAA